ensembl:lncRNA
GUCUUUUCACAGAGCGCCUCAUCUGUGCUGCAUUCAAUCGGUAGGUGAACCAUAGUUUUGUUGGAUGGUGAAUUUGGAAAGGUAGAGUUCUUUUACGCAGGCUAACUAAGAUUCUAAUGGUAUUGUUUUUAUUCUUUUCUCAGAUCGCAGCUGGAACAAACCUUGUCGGUUGGCAAUGUCUCCGAGGUCCUGUGCAACUUCACCAUCACUAUGCACGCCUGUUCCUCGGUACAUCUUUCUUUUUUCGAUCAGCUAAGAGAGAUUCGACUUUUGCUACUUUGCCAUCCGGAGAAAUGGGUCUGUAAGCUCCUGGAUUCUUUGCCUAAUUUUUGGUUGUCUUUUUUUUCCCAAGGCUAAACAUCUCACACCCAGCAACUUGGCGGCACUACAGGCAUGCUCACUGGAAGGCCAAAGGACAUACCCGGUAGAGGUCUGGAAGCUUCUCUUCCAAAAGGCUUUGACUUCAUUAGACCAGGCUCUGGAAUUAUUUGCCACCACGGUAAAUCCAGUCCCACAAUUUCACAAAAUCUUUGCUUCCUUGUGGGAAUUCUGUGUAAUAACCAAGAUGACUUUUUCCAACCCCAGGCCGCCAACAACAGCUUCCCAAUAUUUCCACAUCUGCUCGAGGCCCUCGGAGAGGUUAGAAUUGCCAACUUCAGCGAGGCACAGCUGCAGAGUGUUGACUUUGUCAGCGGCUGGUUCCAGACAAAGUUGCGUCCGUUUUUGGCCUCUCCAUCCUCCAACUUCCUAUUCUGCCUGAGCUCCAAGAACUUCAGCUGCCAAACAUACCAGACUGUCAUCCAGGUAUUCAGCAGCCAAAGGCCAUCCAUGGACGGGGAAAGACAGCGUGCAGUCUUCACUCAUUUCAUCAAACCAUUCCUGUCAAGAAAUGACUCAUCAGGUAAAGGCAGGCGCUCGCACUCAACUUGGAAAAGUCUAGGUCACAACAGUGGUGGUAUCCUGCCAAUGGGUUUGUUUCCGUCUUCUUUGCAGAUCCUGGCUGUGUCUCAUCUACCAACGGGAGCGGAGACUGGCUGCAGACAAAUAUUGGCGGCUUCUCUGAAUAUGCGACCCUGCAGGAUUUGAAAGGCCUCAAUCCCAACUUCUCAAGUGUGAGUGGAGACUGCAGUUGCUGCGUUUUCCCCCUCCCAAACGGAAAGUUCUCAGCUAUGGUUUUGGAAAUUACUGCUGUUUGAUUGCUUAAUGAUUUCUCUUCGUAGAACGAAUCGUUGUCGGCCCUCACUUCUGCUCAGUUGGCACAGCUGACACUGAGCUCGGGGCGUCGAACGACACAGACCAAAUCGACCGUGUGUUUGGACGACUUGAGGUGGGCAAUGCUCUGGAAAAUGUGGAGGAAUUCCUGACAGAGCUGACAGCGAAAGGACAGGUACGUUACCCCUGACACUGGGGUAAGAAAGAAAAUCUGGGGGGAUUUUAACUGAACAAGGACGGUACUUAGAUCUUUUCUAAACCUUUGCAGCAGUUACAGGAGACCCAUUCACAUCACAUAUAUUGUUGCGUCCCUCCCAGUGUCCUGUUUGGUGUACUUGUUAACUGCAAGUUAAGUGUCUGCUGUUUAAGUCCUCUGGUUUUGUGAUUUGAAAGGAACCCGAUUUCCAACCUGCUGUGAGAGAUCGCGUAAUGAACAGGACCUUCCUCAUCAUCGGCCCCCAUUUCCCGCACUUUGAGACAAAGGACUGGUUUGUUUGGUUCCACGUGAAACUGGUUCCUGUCCUCGCCAGUUUCAGUGCAGUGAUGCUCGAGAAUGCAACCUCCAACAUGAACUGCUCCAACUACCAUGUUGUGUGAGUAGUGUCUUACAAACAAGCAGCACUACAGUGCACCAAAGUACAAUAAUACUGUUGAGGGUACGCGUACGAAUGUUUUGUUUUUGCUCUUUUCAGUGUGAGCGGGCUGGCCAAAGCUUCCCCUGAAAUGCCGUUGCACAGACGACAAAAGAUCUCGGGUGUUCUGCUGGGCUACCUGAAAAGAUCUGCCAGUGUCAUCAACGAGCCAGGUAGGGUCGACAAAGUAAACUGCGCCACGUGCUCGCUUGUGUGGGCUUUUCCCAGGGCUUGACAUAUUCUUACAAAAUUGGGGUUGGGAAGAAAACUGGCACUGGAUUUGUAUCACGUAUAGCAAUAAAAAAAGAUCUCGCUAAAUGGUACCUACGCUAACCAUGAUCUACUGUCCUCAGUUUGUAGGCGGGGAAUUCAGAGUGACGCCCAAUGGAUUGCAGUAAACUUGGGUCCAUUUUCUCAAUUUACAUCAUACACUGACCUCCAAGUCUUCAACAUCACUGGGGUAAGUCGUACAUUUCCCUUCAAAUCUUCCAUGAAAAGAGCAGCGCAAAACUCAGAACGUCAAAGAGAAAAGCUUUUUGUGUUUCCUCCGUUUGUGUCAUCAGGCGGCAGUUGUGGACGUCCUCACGCCAAACCAGAAGGCUGAGCUGAUCCUUGAUCCAAACAGCGGCGCUUUGCAGAAUGAGACCAUCGUACGGGAGGUGUUCAAAAGCUUGAACAAGUCCCACAAUGACGAGCAGCUCGGUCAGUUUUUCCUGGCUUUUACAGACAUCAACAAGAAGGUGAGUGCUUGAUUUUAAGAUUGCCAUGCUCUCCGAUAUAUAGUUGCCUGCCAAACAGGCCGUGUAAAAGUUGCCCUUUGCUCUGGGAAUGUUUGCAGAAGCUAA